CACCACUUCGUCCAUGAUCGCAGUCGUCUUUGUACAGUGAAGAAGUUCUUUGACACUAGGACUGAGACGUCCAGGAUUCACACUUUAACCAUUAAACCACAGAGAGAAGAGACAGAUGUGAAGACAUUUCCAGAAGGUCUUCAGCUGUUCUCCUCCUCCUGCAGAGACAAGAACGUAUUAAUCACAGAGACUGAUCAGUAAUGCAAAAUAUUUUUACAACAUACUAUCCUGACAUUUUUUUGAAGGUUUUAUGCCUAACUAUACUUAAUGAUUUUUGACACCUCACUAUAUAGUAUAGAAACUAUUUCAAGUACACAGUGUUUGUGGGUUAGGUUAGAUUUUCAUUUUGGUAUUUUUCUGUUUCAAACAGUGCAAUAUCAGUACUCAAAUCCAAUCUAUUACUGUGUACAUAGUCCUGUUUACUGUUCAUAUUGUUUAGAAUUUUUAUAUAUUGUGUUGUUUUAUAUAAUGCCCUUUUCUAUUUUUGCUGUUGCAACACUGAAUUUUCCUGUUGUGGAACAGAUGAUAUCUUACUCAAAUAAAUACUUCUGAAUA